CUUCGGUCCCCCGAAGUGUCAACAUCUGUUUACGUGUUCUACCCUCGCUCACACAUACAUGCACACACCUGUACAGCGACCAUUUAGGGUCUUUCUUUACGUGGUAAGGAUGCUAACAGUCCAUGGGUUUAUAGUCCAGUGUUCCAUCAUGGUUCCAUCAUUCGUUGCAAGAACGUCUCGAAUCUUCGAUCCUAUUCAAAAGUUGGUGGCAAGGAUCGGUAUUAGAUCCGAAGACGAGGAACGGAGAAGGGAUAAAUCAACGACUUCGACCGACAGUGUAUCCAUCACAUCGGGAAAGGAGGACGCACUCGAGAGACCUAUUGGCUACAACGCGCUCAGUAAAGUGCUAACAACAAGAACUAUAUAAAAAGACAAAAUUACAACGAGUAUUCCUCUCGACGCUGUCUCAUAAAUACAACUCAGUACUUUCUUAACGUGCGUCAUAUUUAACAGAAUUGCUCUGUAUAUAUAUAUUUAUAUAUAUAUUUUUUCGUAGAUUGUUCCGGUUGGCAGUCCACGCAGGUCGUCCUUCGUGCCGUAGAUACUCGCAUUAGAGCGAGCAAGGCUGUUCAUCUUCCCGCCAUUGUGAAGACUUUCUGUGAGACAAGAAAUGGUAUCAAGUAACCAAACUGCCCAUAUCAAAGAUAUCAAGAAAUGAAAGGACAUACUACCUUUCAUGUACGUCUCGUUGUAAAAGUUAGGCAUCUCCCAACCGUCUUCCUCAUCGUCGUAAUAAUGUGCGUAUGGAAGACACAAACCUGACGCAGAUCAUCCAGACUAGGAGGACAACUAUAAUUACGAGGAUCACGCCACCAGCAAUGCCACCAGUAAUGUAGAAGAAUUCCGACUUCUCCGUGCAGUGUUUGCCGGUGAAGC